rnacentral:rRNA from 1 species
UCAUGCUUUUGGAGCGGCCGAUGUCUGCUUAGCUAGUUGGUGAGGUAAUGGCUUACCAAGGCAACGAUCAGUAGUUGGUCUGAGAGGACGACCAGCCACACUGGGACUGAGACACGGCCCAGACUCCUACGGGAGGCAGCAGUGGGGAAUUUUGGACAAUGGGCGCAAGCCUGAUCCAGCAAUGCCGCGUGAGUGAAGAAGGCCUUCGGGUUGUAAAGCUCUUUCAGUUGAGAAGAAAGAAUUCUGGUUAAUACCUGGAAUUUAUGACGGUAUCGACAGAAGAAGCACCGGCUAACUACGUGCCAGCAGCCGCGGUAAUACGUAGGGUGCAAGCGUUAAUCGGAAUUACUGGGCGUAAAGGGUGCGCAGGUGGUUUUGUAAGUCAGAUGUGAAAUCCCCGGGCUUAACCUCNCCAAUUGCGUUUGAAACUACAAGGCUAGA